UGAGAAUAAAUCUAGACCCUUGAAUUAGAUUCAUCUGAUGGCUCUUAUUUAACCCGCCUAAUUAAGGGUAACUGAGUAAUUUCACAGCUUGAAUGACUAUCCUCAAUCUUCUCAUUUUUCAUUUUCACUUUCUCUCUCUUCAUUACAUUUUCUCUCUCCUCCUUCAUAUUCUCUCUCUGGGAAUUCGUAUUUGAGUUUAAUCUUCUUCGAUUGUUGCAUCGAUCUUGCUUUAAUCUUCUUCAAUCUUCAUAUACCUUGAUUCUGGAUAAUUAAGAAUUGUUCGGUGUUAUGGAUCUGCUAAAGAUUCUACGGAUGUACCUUUGGAAAGGAUAAUGACAUCUAUUGAGAGAGAUUCUGCUGUUAAUGUUGUUGGUGACCAAGAUGCAGCAGAGGCUGCAAAGUUAGGAGUUGGUGGUGACCAAGAUGCUGUAGGGGCAUCACAAUUAAGAGUUGUUGGUGGUGACCAAGAUGCAGCAGGGGCAGCCGUUGUUGGUGGUGACCAAGAUGCAGCAGGGGCAGCACAAUUAGGAGUUGUUGGCGGUUCUACACAGCCUCAACGUAAGGGAAGGAGCAUCAAGACAGUUGUUUCUAAGGACAAAGGAAAAAAGGUUUUAAAGGAACCAUUAAAGAAAGAAAAACAGAUGAUUAAGCUAGAGGAGAUGAAAUCCAGCAACAAAUUGCAAGGUUUGAAGUCAGGCAAUGAAGUGGAAGGUUUGAAGUCUCACAUUCAUAGGACAUUGCAUAGUCAGAUGUCACCCUCAUCCAUUGUUCAAGUUAUGGAAUCAAUUUUACUUUCAGAAAAUCAGUUGAAAGCAAUUAGAGCUAUAGGAUUUGGGGUCGAUGGAGUUUUUGAAGGUGAUUCAACUGCCUUUGCAGUUGGGUAUAUGGUUGGUGCAGCACUUUGAUGCUAAGACGUGCUCAUUAAAUAUUCCUGCUUCUGAUCCUCUCCGUAUUACUGAAGACCAUGUGCAUGAAGUUCUUGGGUUGCCAAUAGGGGGCAUAGAGAUUGAUAAAAAUAAUUUUCCCAGAAAUAAGAAAGUCAUUCAGCAAUGGAAAAAGCAAUUCAAAAGCAACUCACUCUCUAUCAAAAUAGGGGAGCUUAAAGAGUUUUUGAAGGAGCAUAAGUCAGCUGGUGCUAUGUUCAAACGGAACUUUGUAGUUCUUUGUGUGUCUACACUAAUGGAUGGUAGUCUUCUUAUUUUUAUUUUGCUCAUUUUCAAUUUAUUUUGCUCAUUUCUAUUUUAUUUUGCUCAUUUAAAUUUCUGUUUGCUCAUUUCUCUUUUGUUUUGCUCAUUUUUUGUAAGGGAAACAAAACAUGAAUAGUAAUUCUGAUAUUAUUACAUUUCAUUCUGAUGUUGAUAAAAUCAAGGACUUGAAUUGGUCAAAGUAUAUCCUUGAUUCUCUCGUGAAAGGCAAGCUUUUCUGGGAAGAACGUCCAACUCGUUCUUUUCCUGGGUCUUUAUUGUUUCUUAUGGUAUUACUAUAAUUUUUGUUUAUUUUUGAUGUAGUAUUUCUUACUUACUGGUUGAUUUUUAAUUUACUAAUUUUUUUUUCUUACUUGUUUGUAUUUAUUGUAUGUUGAUAAAUUUGUACUUGAGGAAGUUCAAGCUGCAAGUGAAAUUCCAAUCUUGAAAGGGUGGACAACAGCUAUGUUGUCAACACAUGAGAAAUUGGAACUCUUUAACGGGGGGAUUGGAAAUAUUUGUGCUAAAAAGCUAAGCUUGAUGCUGGUUCUUCUAGCAUGACACAACCUAAAAUGGUAUUUAACUAUAAUUUUUUAUUUUAUUCUUUUCCUUAUUAUUCUACAUUUUUAACUUUUUUGUUUUUUAUUUAGGAAAAUUUUAUUCCUUCUGAAAUGGAAACUCAAGUAGGUGCCAAUAAGGAACAAUCUGAUCCAAUUCGUACAAAAAAUGAAGAAACUGAACAAGAUUUAAAGAAGCCAAGAUGAACGGUAUUGGCAAGAUCCGGCAGUAAUUGAAGCUUGGGAUAGGUUUUUAUAGAUUUCACGCAACGACAAGCAUGCUGAAUCUUUAAUCAAUGCAAGGGUUGUUCAUCUAAAUGAAUCAGAACCCAUUGAUGUUACUAAGAUUUCUGUUGAAUGUGUUCACAUAGCAAGUGGUAUCGCUGAUGUUGAAUGUUCGUCCGUGCCUAGGGCUGCUAAACAUAUGUCUAAAAAACUUGGAGACUCAAGUAUCAGAUAUGGUUUAAGAAGUUCAGUUGCCAAAAGAUCUAGAACUCCUACAUUCAGGUUAGGAAUCUUUUCUCAACAAACUGAUUCUCAGGAGAAGUCCCCUAGUAGUGCACCUACUAAUUAACCUGUAGUUGCUCCUGUCAAUGCACAAGUUGGUGCUUCUGUUGCAAUAAUGCCUCCAAAUCUUCAGAGCAAAAACUAUUGCAGCUAACUCCAAAUCAUAGGUUGGGUAAUUCACCUCAUGUGGUUUCAACUACCUUAAAGCAUACGCAAUCACUCUUCGAUUAUGCAUUAAAACACACCCCAAUCAAAACAUCGAUGCAUCACAAUACAACUCAUAUAGAUUGCUUCCAUCAAGCAAAGCCAACACAGGUGGUGUGGUUAACCUUUCUUUCAAGGUCUGAAACGUCUCUUCACAUUCUUAGGUCCAUGAAAACUUAUGCUCCUUUUUCAUCAAACUUGUCAUGGGCCUUGAAAUCCUUGAAAAAUCCUUCACAAACCUUCUGUAAUAGCCUGCUAAACCCAAGAAACUUCUCACAUCCGACACAUUCUUUGAGGUUGGCCAUUCACUGACAACUCGAAUCUUUCUUGGAUCAAUUGAAACUCCUUCCUUGGAAAUCCCAUGGCCCAAAAAUGCCACUUUUUCCAACCAAAACUCACACUUUGACAACUUAGCAUACAACUAGUGCUCUCUUAAACAUGAUAGUACUUGUCUCAAAUGCUCCUCAUGCUCAUCUUUAUCCCUUGAAUAAAUCAAAAUAUCAUCAAUGAACACUACUACAAACUUAUCCAAGUAUGGCCUAAAAAUCUUAUGCAUCAAAUCCAUGAACACUACUGGUGCAUUGGUCAAACCAAAUGGCAUAACUGUGAACUCAUAGUGACCAUAACGGGUAUUGAAAGCACUCUUUGGAAUAUCUUGCUCCGCAAUCCUCAACUGGUGAUAACCUGACCUCAAAUAUAUCUUCGAAAACACUCCAGCCCCCUUGAGCUGGUCAAACAAAUCAUCGAUCCUUGGUAAUGGAUACUUAUUCUUCACCGUAACCUUAUUCAAUUCUCGAUAAUCAAUACACAACCUCAUACUUCCAUCCUUUUUCUUUACAAACAACAUUAGGGCUCCCUAGGGUGAGGAACUAGGUCGAAUGUAGCCUUUCACCAACAAAGCAUCCAACUGAGUCUUCAAAUCUUUCAUCUCAGCUAGAGUCAUCCUAUAUGGAGUCUUCAGUACCAGGCACUAGGUCGAUAGUGAACUCCGCAUCCCUCACUGGUGGCAUACCAGGAAUCUCAUCUGGAAAUACAUCAAAAAACUCUUCUAUAACCGGAAUACUUUCCUUACUCUUCUCUUCCUCACUUCCCACUUCUUGAACACUACACAUAAACAGAGGAUAACCCUUCUUAACAAACUUCUGUAGUUGCAUUGCAGAAAUAAUUCUCAACCCUGAACUCUUCCCUUCCUUUUAGUAAGUCACUCUAGUUUUACUUGGGCUAUUCAAAGUAACCUUUUCAGCUGCACAGUCAAUCUUGGCUUCAAACUUUCCCAACCAAUCCAUACCCAGAAUCACAUCGAGAUCCUUCAAAUCGAACUCGAUCAAAUCCGACGAAAACUCUACCCAAAAAUGGUAAGAGGUACACUCUUAAACAACUUGGAACAAUUUUUCACUUCCCCAUACGGAAUAGACACAUCUAGAGAAACUGACUCAGGACUCCCUAACCCAAGACUUUCAACCACUCUCUUAGAAAUAAAAGAAUGAGAUGGACUCAAAUCAAACAAAACUUUCACUGACAAAGAACAUAUAAGGAAAACACCAAUAACCACAUCAUUAGAAGUUUCAGCCUCACGGUUGUUCAUCACGAACACACAACCCUUUGGGGAACCUCUCGCAACGCUACUGGUUCCAACCUUGGGUGUAAAUCCACUAGGCUGAGAUGGUUUGCUAGGAGCACUAGACUCUUUCUUGAAACACUCAAACUCACGGCGCCCCUACUUCUGACUGUAACGACAAGUUACCGGUUUCCCCUCACAGUUCCUCCCCGGGUGGUCUUUCUCACACCGCUUGCAGAAAUACUUCUGCUAGGGUUUCUCACCCCUUUGGUUUCCAUUCCCUCUAGCGUUGGUCGUCUAGCCUCCAUUCCCUUUUCCAAAGUUCCCUUUGUUGUCCCUCCUAUCUCCAAAAUUCCCUUGGUGGUUACCAUUGGUCUUAUGCCCCUUUUCACCCCCAUGAAAAAAUACGUAGUUCUUCUUUUUCUCUCCGGAAUGCUCCUUCUCUCUCCCCUUGAUCCUGUACAGGUGGGCUGCACGUCCAUAGACUUCAUCUAGGGUCUCAAAAGUGAUUCCCCCUAGUUUCCCUUGGAGGGUCAAGGUUAGGCCUUGCUCAAAUCUCUAAGCUUUGAUGGUUUCAGUGGGAACUACUUUUGGGGAAAACCUCAUCAACUCAAUGAACUUGUUAUAGUACUCAUUGAUAGACAUGUUCCCCAUUCUCGGGUUAGUAAACUUCAUACACUUCUACUUUCUCAGGUAAGAAGGGUAAAACUUCUCCCUCAAGGCUUCCUUAAACUCAUCCCACCCAAAGUUUGGUUUCGUCAACAACUCAUCCUUUCUUUGGGCCCACCAUAAAUCAGCUUUUUCCCUCAGAUAGUAAACACCAUUAUUCACUCUCAGCUUACUCAGGCAAUUGAUAGUAUCAAACAACUAAUCAAACUCCCUAAUUUGGUUUUCAAGACUAGCUAGGUCCUCUUUCCCCAAGUAAACAGGUGGUUUGGCUGCAGCAACUCUCUUAAAAACUUCGCUAUAAGAGUCAAUGUCCGAAUUACGGUUUCCUUGGUUCACCCCUUUCGUGAUGUUUUCAGUGAUAUGGGUUAACUUUCUAAGGAUCUUCCCUACUUUGGAACCAGUGCGCCUACUUCCCAUUUGGUUUCUCAUCCUUGCAGACAUACUUCUUGGGUAUAAUUACCAUACAUUGAAAAUUGAAACAAGUUCUACUCAUAUAAGCAUUUAAUUCACUCAAUAACAUAAGAAAAAUUCAAUAAAAAUAACUUCAUUUCAUUAAGAAUCAAAUUAAAAGUACAACUUUGCCAUCUUAGGCAAUUAUUGAAAGCAAUAAACAUAGCAUAGCUCAAUCAUUCAAGCAACACUCUUAGAAUAGUCAUCCUCAUCGGGAUCAUAGUCAGGAUCAUCUUACUUAGCCUUUCCCUUAUCACUUGGGUUAGUCGUGAAAGUUGGGUUAUAUCCACUGUAACUUGGAGUAUGGCUUGAACUUGAAUUUGGGCUGUAAUUUGGGCUUUUGUGUGGACAAGCACAACCACAAUUUAGCUUUGAAGAAGCAUUGGGUUUUUGUUGAACUUUUGGUGAAGAUGGAUGGUAUUCUGGACUUGGUGGCUUUUGAUUAACUUCUUAGUUACGAAUUCUGGGCCUUGUUGCAAUAUGAAAAUGGAUUUUGGAUUUGGACGCCUUGGAGGUUCAUAGCUUGGAGUAUGUGAAGGAGGAGGGUAGUUCUUGCUCCUUCCAAGAGGUGGUAUGGACUCAUCACUGGAGGACUCAAAUUCAUAACGACGCUUUCGGUAUGAUAAAGGUAUUUGAGCAUUUAAGUGGUACAUUUGGUCAUCUUUUCUCAAGGUAGCAUUCUUUGAAAUUUUGGGAAAUUUCACAAUUCUCCUCCUAGGCUCAUAGUCACGUUCAACAUAGUGCAAGUCUCUUUUGAAGCUAGACAUGGUUGCUAACCACUUCCCUUCAUGAUGGUGUUCUUCAUUCCACAUUCCAUUAUCCUUGAUUACAUCCUUAUACUUGUCAAAGAUAGGUUUAUAUUGAGAACUCUAGGCAAAUGGGCUAAGGGCAAGAAAAUCAUCCAAGGUGGUUGGGUCAACACUUCAAAUCCAUAUCGUUCAUAGAGGGAUAUGGAAAAAGUAACUAUGUAAGUCACAAACUCACUAACACUGACUCCAUCAUCUUUCAAAUAAUGCAAGUUAAAGUAUUUCUUUCUCAUUUCAUCAAUCUUUUCCAUCUGUUUCACAUACACAUGCAAAACAAUCAAUUCAAUGCCAAUUCAUAUAAGCAAUUCAAUUCAAAAAUCGUUUGCAUAAGAAAUUCAUAACUCAAUCAACCAAGUAUAGCUCAAGAUCACCCAACCAUGGGCAAUGACUCAAAAAUUCGAACCUCUUGACCAUAGACUAAGGUGUUUUAACACCAACUUUAAUGCACACAUAAUCACACAACUCAAGCUUUCACGUUGUUUCAAUUCUUUUUGUUUUCGAAAAUAAUAAUAAUGUAUUUGAAUCAUGAUAUUAGACGGUCAAGCACGCAUCUCCCAGGCAAGUUACCUACAGCAUCGAGGAGAGUCUUGCCUAGACAGAGAGUCGUACUUGAGAAUCCUUUUCUCAAUCAUCUUUCCAAAUAAGAAAAUAGUUUUUAUUUAAAAAAAAUAAUGCUUUUGACUUUCACACACAAAUGUGAAACUCUGUCCUGUAUGCCCUCUUAAGUCUACCAACAAUUUUUUUUUUCCCAUUUUAAUCUUUUUAAGACCAGAAAACUGAUACUACUUUGUAACACCCUCAAAUCUCCCUCUACGGAUAUACUAGUAUAAUACGUACAAUUAUACCUUAGAGAUAGACCACAACUUCGCAACGGAAACUCAAACUCUUUCUUUACUAAUACUUAAUAUACAUCGUAACCAAUGUCAUGAGUACUCAAAAAUAGAAUUAACGGCCAACAUUCCUAAACUAGGUGAAGAAUAUGCCAGGACUCCCAAAUGCUCAUUUAUUGACUCCACCUAAAAAUAGUCAACACUGUUUACCAUCAAGGUAAACAAGGCGAACCAAAACAAAAAAGAAAUACGGAUUAGCAAAAUAUGCUAAGUACGAUAAG